UUUGGUGCCUUUCAUUAGUUGGGUUUCUUUUGUUGUAAGUUGUUUGAUGUUAGUUCAUGUGCAAACAUAACCUUUGUUGGUUCUUAAUGUGAUUGACCAAUGUUCAGAAAAAAUUCAUUAGAAAAGCCAUAAUUACUUAAAAAUUCGUCACGCUUACAAAUAAAAUGCAUUUGAAAGGCAGUGACCACUUUCGAUCCGGGUCACAGCUUCGAACAACAAAGAGCUCGAGCUUGCUGGCUAAAUGGAGGGAAGGGAACGAGCAAAGAUUAUUCAAUCCAUUACCUCGGUUGUCGUCGUCGUCAUCUUGGCAGUGUUCGUUCUGGUUCUAUCUAUUGAUGACAAGUGAGGGGCUUGCAAUGCCGUCAUGGGCGAGAUUGAGCUUGGACUUUUGAGAGCUUUGUGUUCUGCUGCCAGAGUAUAUCUAUGCUUCUCCAUCAAUUGGAUGAUUAGCUUGCAAGGAAAUCAAAUUUAAUGGAUGCUAAUCAAGUCUUGUGAUUUUUGUGAGAGCUCUGUUCACCAACCAGACUAAAGAGACAUCAACUGGAAACUUAAUGCAACCAUGUGGCAAUCAGUAUGGUAUUGGUGGAAGUGAUUCUAAGUUUCUCAUUUUUAAAUAUUGAUGUUGGCUGGUUUACCUUGUGACACUUAUGUGGCAAUCAGUAUGUAGCAUCUUUGAUUAGUGGUUCCUUCGAUGAAGCGCGGAUGCUUAAGAAUGUUGAAGCAUGUGAAUGGUUAACAGGUGCAAUUCCUAACCUUGAAGUGCCAAAUCUGAAUCCAUGCUAUGCUAACAUGCGAGCUGUAUGUGUGCUAUCCCUUGUUUGAAAUGCCAAUUAUUCCUGGUCAGGGAUCCAUCACUUUUCUUUUGGUUGCACAGAAUGAAGAAGUAAUCCAUUUUUGCAUGACAAAUAUCACUUACUUUUUCAUGUCAUACCAAAUAACUCUUUGAUGCAUAGCCAUAUUACAUAUUCUGCUGGCAAACGAAUAUAUUAUAUGCUGGAAAUAAACUGCUAUUGGAGAUAAGUAUUUGGAGCCUCUUUUUUUUUUUUACAAUAGUUCCUGAAAAGUAAUUGAAGAGUAUUCUCCUAUUCUUUUAUCUUCCUUCAAAUCCUACUAUAAGGCUCAAAACAAUGAAAUAGGCAUGGGCAAUAAUUGAAAUUGAGCUUAAGUUAAUAGAUUCAAUUUCCCCGAAAUGCUACUCCAAUUUAUUUAUUGCUACUCAUUGUUCCUUUAACAAGUCAAUCAUUGAUAUUGACAAGUUAUUUUUAAA